CCUAAGUUUGAGAGGAAGGGGUACAGUGGAAACAACAAUUUCCACGACACCUCCAACAAGUAUACCAGUAACAAGGCCGAGACUUCCAAAAAAGAAUGGAAGCCUAGGCAUGAUAACAAGGUAUACCAAGCCUCAACCAGCAAGCCAAAGGGUGUAAUUCCACUAUGGAAAAGGAACACCCCGCUUACUAUCAGAAAAGGCGAGCUGUUUGAGAAGCUAAAGAACCGAGCGGAUCUACCUGUCCCUCGCUCUUUAGACCCUGCAGCAAAGAGG
rnacentral:lncRNA from 1 species